GUGUCUAUGCUAGCACAAAAAGAUUUUGAAAUUAGUUUCAAUAAAAGUUUUUAUUCCAUUUAUUUACGAAAUAAAUUGGUUACACGAAGUCUUUUAAUUGACAGUCUUUAUCACUUGCAUGUUGAUGUGAAUAAGAACUUAAACGAGCAAAUAGUGAGUGUCGUAGGCCAAAAUAGAUCCAGAGAUGAAAUUAACUAGAAGUACUUGUGGCACCAUAGACUAGGUCAUAUUGGAGAGGACAGGAUAGAC
rnacentral:lncRNA from 1 species